CUCUUUUCCUGUGGAGCGGUGGCGGCGGCGCCUGAGACACUCCUUUCUCUGUGGGAAUCCUGUUAGCAUUGAGCAGUAGUUGUCCUGGAAGAGCAGGAAUCAAAAGAGUAGCGAAGUUGUAGGCUUAUCUGCAAGCAGCAAUUAGGUGGCUGUAUUCACGUAUGAAGGAGAAGCUUUCAGUGGUGUCCAAUAUGUUGUACAGAAGCAUUAAGCCCAUCAUGGAAGCACCAUUGGAACUAGAGGAGUAUUUGGUACACACAAGUGGAUUUUCCUGAAAGCUGUGAUGGUGUAUGAACAGUUUUUAAUAAUGGAAAAAAAGUUGAACAUUGUGAUGAAAGAUGUCCUGGCAACUGUACUACAACAGAUAGAGGGAUGCUUGAAGGCUGCUUCUUGAAGCAGGAAAAUGGUCACAACUGUACAGACAAAUGCUUUAAUUUGUUCAGUGAGUUGGAACGUUUUUGUCAGUGCUGCUUGACAAAUGUGGAUGAUCUGUAACUGGAAGAAAGUGUAACACCUGAAGAGAUGUUCUCGCUUGGAGUGGGACCAUGCUUUUAAAAUCCUGCUGAAACAGUUGUUGAAAUUGUUUAGCAGAUACCGUUAUCAAAAACUGCACGUGAACCAAAAUUACUGUCUCUGCAUACUUAAAAUAAUGCUUCUCUCAAAACAUCAAACUGCCCCCUUUGGGAAGGAUAACAGUAGCAGUAGGGAAAUGAGUGGUGAGCUUCAAUAUAUGAAAAAGAAACAGACUAUUGGCCCUUAGGAAAUGUAAGGGUAUGCAGACUUUGAUACUGAGCAUCUGUAAUAACUCAAAACAAUGGAAGUUGCAGGUAGGCCAUGCAGCAUUGAUACAUAAAUUCAAACUACUGAGUGCUCCUUGAUGAUGUCAUGUGGGAGAUUGAAGGAGGUAGAUGAGGUGGUGUGGAAGCAUCAACAUGAAGCACCUGUAGAAAGAAACGCUUGAAAUUUCAGGUGGCGUGAGGAAGUUGUGGUUACAGAAAAAGCAUAGACUAAAGCUUUCAUUUUCUUCUGCAUCUAGAUGGGGAGAGAAGGAAAAGGGAGUUUUCAUGAGCUGCCAAUUUAGCAUGGAAAGACCAGUAUCGGAACUGGAACUGUGCCCACUGAAGAAGACAUUGGCAGUGUUAUCUGUUCCCAGUGUGGGAGGAAAAGGAAUAGAAACAUUGGAAGUUUUGCUUGCCAGCAGUCACUAACCACACAGUAACAUCUUAACAUUGUAUUUGUUGUAAAUUGGUUUUCUGAGUAAGUUGCCUUUAAAGACAAAUUAUGCACGGAAGAUGCAAUCCACCUUAAGGUGUGGCUCUUGUACUGCCUUCUCAGGAAUGCUUUAUAAAGGAGGGAAUGUGACAACUGCGUGGUAGCCAAUGAUCAGUAGUGCUGUGGUUACUGAAUGAUUUUGGAAUGUACCGAAAUAAGGAAACAGCCCUGUAGUCUGCAGCCAAAAAUGACAGCAUUGGAUGCUAGCAGUUAACUUUCUCUAGGGAUCUGAAAGAACUUAAUGAAAUGCACUUAUUUCUAAACACCAAAUACUUGAAAGGCCCAUUUUCCUACCAGUGCAGCACCGCAGAAGUGCAGAACACUAAGUAGCAGCAUCUGAAGCAUUGGGAAGAUCAGAAAUAAAGUGCCUGACUACAAAGCCAUACAGUAAUGAUGUGACUGAACUCCAGGAGUGACUUGGCUUACUGCAUAACCUCUGCUUUGGUUUUUCAGUAAUAACCAGCUGCUUUGGCUGGUCAGAGGCUGCUUCUCAGUGAGUUAACUAUGUAAAUCAGUCUAUUGAAUGUAUCAUCAGAAGCUGCAGAAUUUUACUACAGAAAACCUUCCCUUGGUGGCUUUAAUCAGGAUUUAUUACAUGUUAAUGUUGCUGAGAAGGGUAGGUAUUUGCUAUGUUUUGUACAUGCUCUUUCUUGAAUAAAGACGAGGAUGUGGAAAAC
rnacentral:lncRNA from 7 species